rnacentral:rRNA from 1 species
CAGCAGCAGCCGCGGUAAUACGUAGGGUGCAAGCGUUAAUCGGAAUUACUGGGCGUAAAGCGUGCGCAGGCGGUUUGUUAAGACAGAUGUGAAAUCCCCGGGCUCAACCUGGGAACUGCAUUUGUUACUGGCAAGCUAGAGUGUGGCAGAGGGGGGUGGAAUUCCGCGUGUAGCAGUGAAAUGCGUAGAUAUGCGGAGGAACACCGAUAGCGAAGGCAGCCCCCUGGGCCAACACUGACGCUCAUGCACGAAAGCGUGGGGAGCAAACAGGAUUAGAGACCCCCGUAGUCCCUGUCUCUUAUAC